GCUGGGUGCAGUGGCUUGCGUCUGUAAUCCCAGCCACUCAGGAGGCUCAGGUGGGAGGAUUGCUUGAGCCCAGGAGUUUGAGGCUGCAGUGAGCUAUGGUUGUGCCACUGCACUCUACCCUGGGUGACAGAGCAAGACCCUGUCUCUA
rnacentral:SRP_RNA from 2 species